AUUUCUGGUAACACAUGGGAUAUAUGCAUAUCAGCUGGCAGAACCCGUUUCUUAUGUGCAAAAUCUUCAUUAGCCAAAAGCAGGAUGCCUGUAAGAAGGAAGGAUAAGUGGAUCGUCGUUCUUCAAACACGUGCAACAGCAAGAACCCAAGUAAUCAAGUUCUGGCAGGAGGUCACGAGGGGUUUUGAUGGACAGCCUAGAUCUGACAUCAGCACAGGGAUAUAGAAGACAACAGCCAUUAAACUCACGGGCACGGAAGAGUUGAGCGAAAGUCACUGCGCUGGGAUGAAACACCGGGAAGCGGGCGGCUCCACCUCAAAAGAAGA